ensembl:snRNA U6 U6 spliceosomal RNA
GUGCUAGCUUUGGCAGCACAUAUACUAAAAUUGGAAUGAUACAGAGAUUAGCAUGGUUUCAUCCUAAGCAACAGAAUAAACAUUCUUCUCGAGUGCACAUGGAACAUUCU